rnacentral:pre_miRNA from 1 species
AUAGAAAUGACGCAGUCUGAAGUUGGUUGCAGUUUUUUAGUCCCACCCUGUACUAAAAAUUUAAUACUUUAAUUUUUAGUACAGGGUGGGACUAAAAAACUGCAACCAACUUCAGACUGCGUCAU